rnacentral:lncRNA from 1 species
GGAAGAUGCUAAUAGGGCAGUGGUGGAGGAGCAGGAGCCAGCAUGCUCAUGCAAAUCAGCACUGAUGUCUGUCAGAGCCAUGAAGCAGUUGUUUGGCAGCAUUGCAGGUAUAUUGAAAACUCUACAAAGAAAUAGCUAAUCAAAGAAAUUGAAAUAAUUGCCUUAAGUUAUCACAAGGAAAGCAACUCAGCAAAUUUGAGAAGCCACAGCUUAGCAAAGGACCAGAGUCAAACACUCUUCUGGUUUCAACAGUCCCCAAAGUCACUCCACUAUAGCAAUAUAUCAGGUUCUCAAUGAGCAGGAUGCCCUGGAGGAUUCAAGGAGAUGAACAGGGCUGUUCUUGCAAAGGAAAAAUUAAGCAACAAGCCACACCUGUUGCUCACUCUAAAAAUGUCUAAAAUCCAGAAUUUGGUUAAGUUCCCAGGAUAUCUGAAGAUCGUACCUAAGACCCAUGAGCCCCUAGGACAGGAAAGUCCUGGUGCAGCCAACUGGAGUCGGGUUCUGACUUCAGCCUUGAUCCAGAACCACAGGGAAGCGACACUGCCCGCCCCUUCCUGUACCACGUGGGGGCGCCCGCGCAAGGAUGUCCCUGCCGGGGAACGCGCUCAUGGACUUCUGCGUGAGCUGAAACCGGUUUUCAGGGCUCUCUGGAAGGUCUCCGGGCCAGGAGAGACCCCUGGCUGAUUUGCGGAUACUGCCGCCGGCACCCCGCAGCUGCAGUUUGGCGAAGACCCUCACAGGUGGCUUCCGCCGGCUGCACCUGCCCCGGGCCGGUGUAAACAUUCACUCACCGCGUGUGCAAGCACACUGCCCGGACCGCACAACUUCCCCCGAAAGACGCCAAGUCGCCUCAGAUUCUCCUCUCACUGUUGGCACUCGGUAUAUCGGUCACAAAGAUCUCAAGCCCCCUGUCCUUCGGCCGUCACUCACCAUGCCGCGGCUGCAGACAAUGGACACCCUAUACUGGACAUCGGACACCGGCGG